ACGCCGGCGGUGUGCCUAAUACAUGCAAGUCGAACGCGUUGGCCCAAUUGAUUGAUGGUGCUUGCACCUGAUUGAUUUUGGUCGCCAACGAGUGGCGGACGGGUGAGUAACACGUAGGUAACCUGCCCAGAAGCGGGGGACAACAUUUGGAAACAGAUGCUAAUACCGCAUAACAGCGUUGUUCGCAUGAACAACGCUUAAAAGAUGGCUUCUCGCUAUCACUUCUGGAUGGACCUGCGGUGCAUUAGCUUGUUGGUGGGGUAACGGCCUACCAAGGCGAUGAUGCAUAGCCGAGUUGAGAGACUGAUCGGCCACAAUGGGACUGAGACACGGCCCAUACUCCUACGGGAGGCAGCAGUAGGGAAUCUUCCACAAUGGGCGCAAGCCUGAUGGAGCAACACCGCGUGAGUGAAGAAGGGUUUCGGCUCGUAAAGCUCUGUUGUUAAAGAAGAACACGUAUGAGAGUAACUGUUCAUACGUUGACGGUAUUUAACCAGAAAGUCACGGCUAACUACGUGCCAGCAGCCGCGGUAAUACGUAGGUGGCAAGCGUUAUCCGGAUUUAUUGGGCGUAAAGAGAGUGCAGGCGGUUUUCUAAGUCUGAUGUGAAAGCCUUCGGCUUAACCGGAGAAGUGCAUCGGAAACUGGAUAACUUGAGUGCAGAAGAGGGUAGUGGAACUCCAUGUGUAGCGGUGGAAUGCGUAGAUAUAUGGAAGAACACCAGUGGCGAAGGCGGCUACCUGGUCUGCAACUGACGCUGAGACUCGAAAGCAUGGGUAGCGAACAGGAUUAGAUACCCUGGUAGUCCAUGCCGUAAACGAUGAGUGCUAGGUGUUGGAGGGUUUCCGCCCUUCAGUGCCGGAGCUAACGCAUUAAGCACUCCGCCUGGGGAGUACGACCGCAAGGUUGAAACUCAAAGGAAUUGACGGGGGCCCGCACAAGCGGUGGAGCAUGUGGUUUAAUUCGAAGCUACGCGAAGAACCUUACCAGGUCUUGACAUCUUGCGCCAACCCUAGAGAUAGGGCGUUUCCUUCGGGAACGCAAUGACAGGUGGUGCAUGGUCGUCGUCAGCUCGUGUCGUGAGAUGUUGGGUUAAGUCCCGCAACGAGCGCAACCCUUGUUACUAGUUGCCAGCAUUAAGUUGGGCACUCUAGUGAGACUGCCGGUGACAAACCGGAGGAAGGUGGGGACGACGUCAGAUCAUCAUGCCCCUUAUGACCUGGGCUACACACGUGCUACAAUGGACGGUACAACGAGUCGCGAACUCGCGAGGGCAAGCAAAUCUCUUAAAACCGUUCUCAGUUCGGACUGCAGGCUGCAACUCGCCUGCACGAAGUCGGAAUCGCUAGUAAUCGCGGAUCAGCAUGCCGCGGUGAAUACGUUCCCGGGCCUUGUACACACCGCCCGUCACACCAUGAGAGUUUGUAACACCCAAAGUCGGUGGGGUAACCUUUUAGGAGCCAGCCGCCUAAGGUGGGACAGAUGAUUAGGGU
rnacentral:rRNA from 2 species